UGGGCUUCAAGUCGUUGCAAUCUUUCACACCAAACGCAGGCUACGUUUAUAAUCAACCUUUUAAAUCGUCAGAAGGCUAUGUUUACAGUCAAUCUUUCAAGUCUCCUAAAGAUUAUUAUGUUUAUGGCCAACCUUCUAAGUUGCCUGAAACUGGCUAUGUUUAUAGUCAACCUUUCAAGCCUUCUAAAGAUUAUUAUGUUUAUGGUCAACCUUCCAAGUCAUCUGAAAGCUAUGUCCAUAAUCAACCUUCUAAGUUGCCUGAAACUGGAUAUGUUUAUAGUCAAUCCUUCAAGUCUCCUAAAGAUUAUUAUGUUUAUGGUCAACCUGCCAAGUCAUCUGAAAGCUAUGUCCAUAAUCAACCUGCCAAGUCAUCUGAAAGCUAUGUCCAUAAUCAACCUGCUAAGUUGCCUGAAACUGGAUAUGUUUACAGUCAAUCCUUCAAGUCUCCUAAAGAUUAUUAUGUAUAUGGUCAACCUGCCAAGUCAUCUGAAAGCUAUGUCCAUAAUCAACCUUCUAAGUUGCCUGAAACUGGAUAUGUUUAUAGUCAAUCCUUCAAGCGGCCUUCUGAUGGUCAAACUGAUGGGGAAAAUAUACAUGGAAAAC
rnacentral:lncRNA from 1 species